rfam:Yersinia pestis CO92 complete genome
GUAGAUGCUCAUCCCACUUAUUAUGACAGCUUGGCCAUUAAGGCUAAUUUAGCUUCAUAAACCCAGGGAUGACGCAGAGCCGAUUUUAGAGUGCCUAUUGUCCAUGUAACCGAUGUUGAGUAAUGUCAUCACAUACCGGGCAUAACGUUGAGUGAGGCACUGAUAUUGUUGUCUAUCGACCUGAAAAUUUUAGACACUUGCCCUUUUCGGCAAGUGUUUUUUU